UUAACGUUAGCCUGCGACUUUGUUCCAGUUUUGAAUUUUGGCCCACUGUGUAUUUGAGUUUGACACCCCUGAUCUAACCUCUCCUCUUCCUCACAGCUCUGAUUUCUCUGAGGGAGAUGUUGUGACUGUAAUCUGUGAGGAGGACCAAAGCUUUUCUGAUUGGACUGUGAGGAGAAACACCAGCAAACUGCAGAGGGCUGAGUGUGGAGAUGGGCGGGGACAACAGCAACGUGAUCAAUCAUGUUCAAUCAGUACGCUGGUGCCUCACGACACCGGAGUUUACUGGUGUGAGUCCAGUAAUGGUGCCAUCAGUAACCUGGUUAAUAUCACAGUCACUGGUCACACAGGAGGAUCUGUUGGACUGAAGGUCAGCCUGUCAGUUCCUGCUGUGCUUCUUGUUGCUGCUGUUUUCUUCAUGUAGAGAAAACAAAAACAACAAAAGAAUCAGGAUCCAGCCUCAUGUUGAGCUGCAGCAAAAUAAAAUGUCUGAAUCUUUUUAAAUCAGCACUCUUAGUCUCCCGCUGGUGGUUUCAGCGUUGUCAGUGAACCUGGGGAACAUGAGAUGAUGCUGGUAACAGAUCAAAGGUAGUGAACAGCAGACAGGGAUCAGCUGCAGGUUUAAUACACGUCCUGAAUUUGGUUUAGUUUGAAGUUUCUGUAAAAUAAAACCAAACGUUGUGAUUUGUCUCUUUAUAAAUAAAGUUGAAUUGAAUUUC